rnacentral:lncRNA from 1 species
AUGUUAUAAAAUAUAGGAGAGCUUAUACAAUCAGACAUAUAAUGUCUUUCAAGAUAUAGUCCGCUAGAAAUGGUGCUUAUCUGAACCUUUCAAUCAAAAGUUAAUCAAUUAACUUCUAAUGCUUGAUCAGCCAACUAACAUUGAUAACUAGUUUGUAUAAUUCUAUCUGCAAGAGCAUCACAUGCUUGAAAUGCAUUCGACCUAAGAAAUAUGUAUUUUUCUUUCUCAAACUUUUGGUUUGUUCUUGGCAUCAUUUUUGCGUCAAUUUAUAUUUUUCUUUUUUGAUAUGGUAACUCUUAACUUUAAUUAACCAUAUUUCAACUUAAAGGAGUCCGCAUAAGUUCCUGUGCAUAUUUUUCACCAUCUUGACUUGAACAAAUAAAAAUCCUCCUGAAAGAGUAGCAUAUUAUGUUAAUUUCCUGGUGUACUUCAUUGUACCUUCAUCUCAUGAAUAUCCUUUCUUCUUCUCUUCCUUCAGGCUUAACCUGGCAGUUACAAUAAUAUAUCUUUGAUGAAUACUUAAUUUAGUGGCAGGCUACUCCUUAAAAAAGGCUUGCUAAUUGCACAAAAAAGGAUAAUUUAAUAAUUGCCCUCAAGAUUUAUAAUUUUUUAGUGAUCAAAGGAAAUCAUCACUGCAAGCAUGAGUUUGACUGAAAUAUUACCUAAAUGCAACAGUAAAAAGCUCUUAUUUAGCGUGCCGUCAGAUGAAAGGGUUAUGCGAAGAACCAGAGUGUCGCCUAGAGAACAAAAACUAUCAAAGUCUAACUUCAGGCAGAUCCAUCGAAAUGCCUGACUAAUACUGUUUAAUUCAUCACAGCGCAAUUAGGUCAUGUAUCACACACGGUAUGUUAGCCACCAGAAAGCACAAGAAAAAUGAAAUAAGGUAGAAUAUGAUAUUUAAAUGUAGGAGUUAAUAGAUACAGCCAUAGUUUUCCGUAACAUCUUGGGGAGCAGGUGAAUAACGACAUACAAAUAUAUCAGACAACAAGUGACUCAGAGUAAUUCUAGAAUAAAAAGAAAUAAACACAUAGCUUGAAUGAAACUAUGCCAUAUAUUGAUAUAUAUUCCAUAACACCCUUACCUUUAAGAGUUCCAUUAGCAAUUGUAAUAAAAUUUCUACCUUCCUUUAAAAAUAGUUUAAGGAGAAACUAUUACGUCGAUUAGCUGAGCUACUUGUAUCCUACUGCUAACAUAUGACUUCGUGUAAACCAUACAAAAUGAUAUACCAAAGGCACUAUUUGUUCAUUACUUAGUUUUUGAAAUAUCUUUUGCUAGUAAGUAGCUACAAUUAUUGCAUGACAAAGUUACCAUAGAUAAGAUCAGAUAAAAAGGUAAUGCAACUCCUUCAUACAUCAAUUAUUGAUGUUCCUAGGAUGAACAUGCAUUCCAAUCAUAUGUUAAAAUAAUAGAAAUACAGGAACAACCAUAUUCUUGAUCCAAUAGUUUAUUAGCUAUAACAGAUAAACAUUUGGGCACAAUUUGUUACUUUCUCUACCGUAAAGCCAAAUCUCUACUAUAACACAAAGAGUACUUUUUAGGCGUUUCACUUAAUUAAAAAACAGUACGGUAAAGAUGAUCUCAAGCAUAGAAGUGUUCAGAAAGAAUGCUUGACUUCUUCUGAAUGCUCGACUUCAAGAGUAUAUAUUUCAAGAGAUACAUGUCUCGGACAGAACAUGGUACUUGGUUUAUUGUUACUCUACAUAAAUGAACAAGUGAUAAAAGUAAAAAUAACCAAAUAGAUAGCUAAGAAUUACAAAUCAAGCACCAUAAGUCAUGAUGUGGAAUGUGGUAUAUGGCAUCUAAUGGUGUGGGAGGCUUAUCCUGAAGCUUAAAUUGUAAAAGAUCUAUAUAUGAUUUAAAUAAAGAUUAUAGGUGGUAAUAUGGCGAGUUUCAUGUUCAAAAGGAAACUGAUGCUAAUGCUGCUUUAGCGUGUCUAUUUGUUGAUAUUAAGAAAGUGGCUAAAGCAGAGGAGAAGCCUAUAAAUUUUGUGACAUGGUAUCUAAGCACAUGUGCAAAUUAAUGAAGAAGAAACCUAUGUGGUUAGUCAAUAACACCCUAUCAGAUAUCAGAAGCACUGUUACUAUACUGAUACUAACUCUAUAGUUUAAGUUCUGCCCUAGAAGAGGAAGCCUCUUCCACUGAAAUAGGUUCAUGGCUCAUGAAAUAUCUAAUAGUUUUUCCAAGUCUGUAAAUAUUUUAAUUUUGCUACAUAGACAUACAUCACUAAGAAGACAUCUGAUACAAAAAUAAGAAUGGUAUAUAUGAAGCGUCGAUAAACAUUGUAAAGUGUCAAGCUUCAUCUAGCUUCUUAGCAAGAAACUAAAAGAAAGAUUUCAUUAUUUCUUAAAAUUAUUCAUUUAAGGAUUAAAUAGCGAUAAUUUUUUUUAUCUAUCAUAAAAGAUUGCGGUAACAAGAACUAUCGCUCAAUUUCAAAUAAGAAAUAAAGAAAUAAUUAAUAAUAAAAAGAUUUAUGAAGAUCUAAUCGCUCACCUUUUGGCAAAAAGUGUCAAAUUCUAUCAUGCAAACCAUCAGGAAUUUGCAAUUUGGCCAAAACAUCGGAUCGCAUGAACUAUCUUAGCUUGCGCCUUCAUUCUUUUAAAAUUAACCACGGUUAACUUCAAGAAAUUUUUUACCUUAAUAAUUAGUAAUUAAAGAUUCGGAGUAUGAUAAAGACUAAAGUUUGGGGGAAGGGGGGGAGAAAGAAGAUAGGGGAAAAAAUAAAAAGGAAUUCUGACUGUUGCUUCUAGAACCAAAUAUAUGAUCAAAGAGAAAAUGGACUUUUGUAGUUAUAGCAACAAUACUCAUUGUUGACAAAUGAGUAACUUCAAUAUAGCUACAUUUAUAAAAUAUUUUGAAAAAUGCAUACA